AGCGAACGCUGGCGGUAGGCCUAACACAUGCAAGUCGAACGGCAGCACAGUAAGAGCUUGCUCUUACGGGUGGCGAGUGGCGGAGGGGUGAUGAAUACAUCGUAAUCUACUUUUUCGUGGGGGAUAACGUCGUGAAACUGACGCUAAUACGGCAUACGACGUACGGGUGAAAGCAGGGGACCUUCGGACCUUGUGCGACUGAAGGAGCCGAUGUCGGAUUAGCUCGUUGGCGGGGUAAGGGCCCACCAAGGCGACGCUGCGUAGCUGGUCUGAGAGGAUGGUCAGCCACACUGGAACUGAGGCACGGUCCAGAAUCCUACGGGGGGCAGCAGUGGGGAAUAUUGGACAAUGGGCGCAGGCCUGAUCCAGCCAUGCCGCGUCGUGGAAGAAGGCCUUCGGGUUGUAGAGCCCUUUUGUUGGGAAUGAAGAGCAGCAGGUUAAUACGCCGGUGUUUUGACGGUACCCAAAGAAUAAGCGCCGGCUAACUUCGUG
rnacentral:rRNA from 1 species